GGAUGUAACCAUGUGGAAACGGAGGGGUGGAAUUGGAAACGAGACGAGGACACUUGCAGCUUCAUACCGGUGUCCACUCGGACUCAAAUGCAGCGAGAAGACGGAAUGGAGCGAAUGGGGAUGGACCCAGUGGUGCCUUGAGUGCCUCCGCUAGGAACUCUGGUCGAUGCCUGAUGCGGUGUAAAGUGAAAGCUUGUUGCUGAACCAUGAAAGACCCCAGGAUUCUUGGCCUCUGGAGGAGAAGACUUCAAUCUGGGGCCAGAGACAAGACUUGAUGGCUCAGAGCUUUUGUGUAAUAAAGUUUCAUUAAAGUAUAGAAGAGAUAGAGAAAGCUUCUGACAUAGACAUCAGAAGGGGGUGCUGAAAGAGUGCCCUCCUUCUAGUCUUUAGUUGGAUGUUGUAUGGCUGCUAGCAGUCUGCUAAUUAAAGAAAGGAAAUGUCUCAAAACUCAGAGAAUGUCACCAGGCCCCUCACCCACAACAUGCAUUUUGGGAUAAACAUUGGCACCAGGAUUGUUAGAUGUCAUCAGAUUAAGAAGAGGCAUCACAUAUGACUGUUGUGGAAGGUAUUCGCAGACUUGGAGAAAGUCUUUUCCUUGAAGUGGAGACGUCCACCAUGGGAAGCUGCCGGGAGCCAGCGUGAGGAACUCCGCCCGUGGCAAAGGUCAUGAGGAAGGAGGCUUCGGCAUACGCAAAGGUGGGAUCAAGCCUAAGGAAACCCGCUGUUCCCGAGCAUCUACCCCCAAAACCAGAGUCUGUCUACUUUACUGCUUUAUGCUCUCACCUACAGCUCUGACUUUAUGGGGGGCUGUCCCCCACCUCUCUCGGAGAAGGAGUUAACCUACAGCUCCAGUUAAUAAAAAUUCCUGGGCGUGACAGGGAUGUCUCAGGUCAAUCCUCUCUGCUGGCAGACCAGCUUGUGUGACAGGAUUAUCCCCACUCUUGCUACUAGGUACAUGAUUGUUUACAACCUCUCAACCAUAAGCAGCACAGAGAGUUUGGAGUAUUUUGAAAGUCUUAGUUACCAUUGGGUUUUUCUAAAGAUAAAAAUCAUGUUGGUGAAGGGUUUUUCAUUUAUUGGGCCAACGUUUGCUGCUAAAUCCCCUGCCCGUAUACAUGUUAAUGAAUAUAUAACUAGCAUAUAGGAGAAAUAAGUAUUAACCUUUAAGAUUAGUCAUGUUAACUUUAGGCUAAGUAAAUUCCUUUCUUAAUUGUAACCCACUACACCCUCACCCUAUAGGAAUGCAACUUUAUCUGGUACCUUCAGAGGGUGGUGCCUGGUUUAAGAAAAAUCACCCCUGGAAAAUAAGUUUCUGGUUGACUGACCAUUAUCAGAAAAGAAAGGAUCAUAAAAUGUCAGCAGGCCUCAUAGCCAGAAGAUGAUGUAAAACCCCUAAAGACCUUUUUGUAUACGUUUAUACAAAGCACCUGAUUUGGAUAAAAGUCAGGACUGCUGACUCCCGCGUGACUUUAAAAGUUCCAUUUGUCUCUAUGUGUAACAAAAGGUAUAUAAGCAAACCUGAAAAUAAAGAAAUCAGAUCAGUUUCUGGAAAGACUGAUUCCCCCGUGUCGUUCUUUCUUU
ensembl:lncRNA